CGAAUCAUUCACAAUGGGCGAAAGCCUGAUGGUGCGACGCCGCGUGAGGGAUGAAGGUCUUCGGAUUGUAAACCUCUGUCACUGGGGAGAAAACGUUUCAGGUUAAUAGUCUGAAGCCUGAUUUAACCCGGAGAGGAAGCAGUGGCUAACUCUGUGCCAGCAGCCGCGGUAAUACAGAGACUGGAAGCGUUAUUCGGAUUCACUGGGCGUAAAGGGUGCGCAGGCGGCUGGGUGUGUGAGGCGUGAAAGCCCGGGGCUUAACCCCGGAAUUGCACCUCAAACUACUCGGCUAGAGCAUUGGAGAGGGUAGCAGAAUUCAUGGUGUAGCAGUGAAAUGCGUAGAUAUCAUGAGGAAUACCAGAGGCGAAGGCGGCUACCUGGACAAUUGCUGACGCUCAGGCACGAACGCGUGGGGAGCAAA
rnacentral:rRNA from 1 species